AUACAUAUAAGUAGCUGUUCGUAUAGUAUAGCUCAUGAGUUUCCUACUCGAAAUUUAUACCACAAUCCAUUUUUGUACAACUUGCAAUUUUGAAUGUGUCCAAUACUUCCAUCGUAAUCUUGACUUGAUAAUGAUCAAGUAUAAUCAUACAUAUAUUAAAUUUACACGUCAUUGGUAUUAUAAUAUACAGUCGCGUAGCAGUGGUUUUAAAAUCCUAUUUCCAUGAGGAUGUAUUUGCGGAGUAAACAUAUUUCUAUUGAGGUUACGAUGCGUUCAAGAACGAGUAAUUUACAAUGAAUGACAAACAGAAUAGGGGAGUCUCCAUAUUUUUUUCUAAAGUAUAAUGAUUGGUUGAUCCUAAUCUAAUUCUUUUUGAUUGAGACAUUUUGUUCACCACCUUUCGCUAAUAAUAGUAUGUGACUUCAGCGACAAAUACGGAAAAAAUGUGAAUUACACGCACAAUCAGAAACAUUGUUCCCACUAUGUAUUUAUUGCAUCAGAGCGUGAGUUUGUUAGAUUAUAUCCUUUUCACGCUUAAUUUAAAAAUCGAAUUAAUGUGCGAUAGAAAUUUUUUUAAACUUAUACAAAUAGCCAUAUUUAAGCUGCCAAUAAUUCAAUAUUACUUGCGAUGAAAUAAUAAUAAAAAUGACAUAUAAAAUAUAACAUAUAAAAUAUAAUGGCAAGAACAGUAAAAAAAAGAUCGCAGAUGCUCAUUUUGAAUUUUAAAUGUGGUUAUAAUGUUGAACAUAAGUAGAAUAGAAAAUACGGUUUUUUUGAAUUUUUGAAAAAGUUUUAUUUUUAUGUAUAAACUAUUUAAAAAAAAAAACCAUUCUUUGGCACAUUUUUUCCAAGAAAAUAAAGCUUUCAUAAAAAUUCGGGAAGUUAUCUUCUAACUUAAAUCCAUCUUUAAAAUGAAAGCUUGUUUAUCAAAAUUGAUCAAGAAUUACUCCUGUAGUCAUUAUUGGCGUAAACCAUUAUAAAACCGGGGAUGAUGAACUAUUAUAAAGUCUUAAAAGUUUGAAUUUGAAAUUUCAUUAAAAUAUUAAUAGAAAUUGUUAAGAUUAUUUCUUUAACUUAUAGUUCUAUUAUUUUAUAGUAAUUCUAUAUGAAUUAAUACAGUUGUAAGUACAUAUAAUUGUAAGAAAUGUAUUUUAUGAUAUGAUUACAGAAUUUAACAAUAAUUACUGUAUCUCUUGCUCCUUCUGGAUAGUAAUAAAAUAAUACAUAUUUAGUA